rnacentral:RNase_P_RNA from 1 species
AGGAAAGUCCGGGCUCCACAGAGCAGGAUGCUGGCUAACGGCCAGGCGUCGCGAGACGACGGAAAGUGGCACAGAAAACAAACCGCCCGCUUGCGGGCAAGGGUGAAAAGGCGCGGCAAGAGCGCACCGCGCCGUUGGCGACAACGGCGGCAGGCCAAACCCCAUCCGGAGCAAGACCAAACAGAGCUUUGCGCUGCUCGCGUCGUGGCUCGGGUUGGUUGCUGAAGGCUUUGAGCAAUCAAAGCAUGAGAUGAAUGGCCGCCUCGCACAGAACCCGGCUUAAGGUUCGC